UAAAUAAAAUAUUUCUCCACAGUUUAGAAUUACUUUGGUUUAAAAAGGCUCUGUCCUCUCUGGUAUCUUUGGUUGAAAAUGAUGGCCUGGUGGAAUACUGGGUGGCUUUGUCUGGUUGGUUAAUUUUGCUCUUGAUUAGCUAUAUGCCCUGAUUUCCCUGGGUGUAAGAACUCUGGAGGAAAAAAAAAGAAAAAAAAAAAAAAAAAAGUAAGCUCACUUUAAAAAAAAAAAGCAACAACAACAGCACAUGUUUUCCUUAGUACAAUCUGGAACAUGAUAACAUAGGUCACAAUAUUACUCAAAAGGUGGCAACUUCCAGUGUGGGGCAGCAACCUUUUAAGCUUAUUUGGGCUCUAUUAGAGAAGUAGCAAGAAAUUAGCAGGCUAAUUGCUAAGUGAAUUGCUACUUUUUCUUAGGAGCCAUCUCUUUUGCCCAGUGUUUGUUAAACACUUUGCUAGUUGGCAGUAGAAUGAAGUUGUUUGUUAAUGAAACUUCCAUCACUGUAAAAUAAUCACGUAUAAGCAAAUACCACUGUGAUAACAGUAAGGUGGGUGUGCCAGUCCAUUUUCUUAGCAGUGUUGUUAUUUAUGUAUUUGUCAUAUAUAACAGUAGUAUAAACUGAUGUCAUACAGGUUAGUUCUUUUAAGGAGAGCUUUGAAGAAUGCUUUUAAGUAUUUGCUUGAUAUUUUUUGCUACUUAUUACCUUUGUAUGCAUGCAGAGUUGAAACCACUUUCAGAAGCUUGUCAGUGAUUGAUCACUUCACAGUAGACAUUCAGAUAGAUGUUCUUUAAUCAAUUCAUACUUGAUCUUUCUGUAGACACUUAAUGUGUCACUUUCUAGAAAUCAACAGCUCUUUUAGCUGCAGGGAUUGCCAGAAGUUAUUUUGGGAAGCCACACAAAGUACACGCUCAGUCUGAAAGAAGACAAGGCUAUUACUUAAAAGCAUUGAGCCACGAAUGGCAUACAAUUCACACAGAUAACUGCCAUUAUUUACAAUACUUCUCUAAAAAUACUUCAAUAGCAAUAAUGAGAAGGAAAUAAGAAAGAAAACUCAAGAAAGGAAACAAAUGAAUUCCUACAUCCUCUACACCUGUGUAGAAAGUCUACUGCUGCUCUUCGAGUGAUGUGACCUAGAUUUUAAAACAAAAACAGCCCAGGAGGUUUUCAGCUGUAGGCUUACAUUUUCACUGGAACUGAACUUUCCCAACAGUAUGUUGGCAUUGAUAAAGUUCUGGAAUGGGUGAGCUGAGGAGGGAAUUCUUGCAACUCAAUCCUGGUUCCAAAUCCAGCUAGCAUAAUUACAGUCUUGCUACUGGCCAGUAGUGUUGCUCUGGAUAGCAUCAAAGCAUUCCUGUAAAACAUUUUGAACUGCUUCCAGUGACCACUCCUGUGGUCGGUAUAUAGUAACUUCUGAGCACAUAUUAAACUGUGCCUUGUCCAAAGAGUUACGCAGUUUCUGUAUGCAGACACCAGCACCGAUGUGUGUGAGUUAGCCAUGUACCAAAAAGACCAGAUAAUUGUAAAAACUGAGUAAUUUGAGUGACUGAGUAUCGUGGCGUCCAUUGCAUAACUGUACAUCCAACACUGUCUGGAGUCAGUGGCAGCUUGCUGGGCAGGAUUUGUCAUAUCAGCUCAUGUAUCUGGAAUGAUGUGCUGUGUCAAAAGUUUUACCAAAUAGAUGCCUACAGAAAUGUAAUUUGACUUUAAUCAAUUUUAUUGUCUGAAUGAAAGACAAUAAUAUAGAUAAAAGCUUUAAGAGAGAAGAAAGGAAAAAAAUAAUUUGUAGGAAGCUAAUCAAUUUGUUUUCAGAAUGCUUUUUUUCAGUCCUUAAAAGGAGUGCUGUUUCUUUAAAGAAACCAACUGGCUGGAAGCAGAAGACAGUGUCCAUUGCAGCAUUACUUCUCUGUGCGAAGACAUUAGAAUUGGCCUGAUUUCUACAAGUGCAAAGCAAGGACAGAUACUGUCUUUUCCAUUGGGAUCUGAGGUUAUAGAGCAUUUCUGAGAAUCAAGCCACUCGCCGCUACUUCUGAAAGAAACUUCUUAAGGUGUAUUGAGGAUGUUCUGUGGGCUCAAAGCAUUCCGAGCACCCUCUGGAACAGGCAAGCUGGUGUGAAAGCAGAGAAGGAGCAACUCUAGGAGUAACCGCAUCCUGAAAAUGUUGAACUUUCUUAUCCUUUUCAUUGUCACUACAGCCGAAAUGAGUUUCUGCAGGGUCCAGGAUUUCUCCUGCAAGUGCCUGCAGAGGUGAUGGGCGAAGGUUGGCCCAGGAACAUUCUGAGUGUGACAUUUGAAGUCAUCUUCUGCCUGAGAUGAGCACAGCUCAUGAGCCUCAGAUGCUUGGUACAAUGGGACAAAGAUCUACCUGCUCUCACACUUUGAUAUUUGAAAGCAUGGAAGUAACAGUAGAAGCAUGGAACAUGGAAGCCAACUUUCUACUCUUUUUGUGUGGUGUCACCCACACAUUACUGAAUGUAAAUGUUCUUGUUUUCUAUCCCCGUCCCUUUGUUCUCAGUACAAAAAGCUAAGAACUUCUCUGUCCUGUGAAUUAAUCAACCCAGCCUCGUCCAGAUCUUUCUGCAGUUAGUUCAGAUCCAGUAUCUGGGCUGUAUCUCCUCAGAGUGCUUUUAAGAAAUUCUGGCCCUGAGAAAUAAACCCUGACAUGGGUACCAGUUUUGUGGGUUAUAUCCAACGCAAUUUUCAACUCUUCCAGAAAUGUAAGAGCUGCCAAUUUUUCCUGCACUCACUUUAAUUAGGUAUUUUACUGCCUAAGUGUGAUACCUCUAAGAAUGGGAAUACUGGAGUAGUGCUGAGGAGAUACUACAUGAAUUGCAUUCUUGAGGUCCAGGCAGAUUAAAAUGAAUGACUUUUCAAAUAGCUUUCUGUCUUAUUCUUUUUCCUUUUUCUUUAUGCCUGUGAUAAAGUUGGAGGGAGGCUGAAGAAGCUGGAUAGUUUGCCUCCCAAAUAUAGAGAAUGUUGUUGUCAUUUCAGAGUAUUUUCACAAACAGAGGGAUUUAUGGCAGCAGUCAUUUUACUGAACGUUAACAGCACAUUUGUAGGUUUGCAGCGUGUGUGCCUACCUGAGCUCACAAGCUUCUGUAGAUCAGACCAUCACCCAGUCUGUCAUGUCUCACCUUUGCCAGAUUCCUCUUCAGUCCUGGGUACUCACAUGUUUGCUUAAAAAUAUGAAGACUCCUGCAUUGUGACAAGUGAAAGAAGGGAUAAAAUAUCAAGGCUUUAGCACUUAGCAGUGCUGAAUGGGAGCUAAAGACUGCAGCUAGGAAGCUGAGUAGUAAGGAUCAACGAAUGUGAUGCAUCUAUCUGUAUUCCCAUAUGUCAGUCUCAGACAAUUUCACAGAUUUGCUAAUGGGAAUAAGCUUUCAGUAAAGCUUCUUCAGAGCCCUUAAAGAGAUGUGAAUGUACUCCAGAACCUUGAUGAGUGAUAAGAGGAAACACUGAAAGACAAAUUUCCACUUCUGAUUCUUAGACACAUGACCUCCUUCAUAAGUCAGGAGUCACUCUAAGUUCAAAGAAAUCAAUGUUGGCUUCCUCCCAGGAUGCAAACUCUUGAGAGCUCUGUUUUAUAUGCCUGUGUGUGUAUGAAUGUAUACACACACAUAUAAUGCUAUUUUCAAAUACUCAGUGGAAAUUUAAUGGAGUUGCAGGAACAGAAGAAUGGAGAACUAAUUCUGUAUCCAGCUCAUAACCCAAGCACUGGCUGAGUUGAUGCCAGAGAGGAAGGCAGAGCAGGAAAGCCAACCCCAAUACAAAGUUUGGGAGCUGCACUGUCCAGUCAAAUGACUAGGAAAGUCUCCACCUUGCUCUGAUCUUCAGGAGCCCUUGCUGAACAGUAGAGCUGACCUAGACAAAGAAAAAAAUGCAUUAAAAAGGUUGGAAACUACUUUUCAGGAAUGUAUUCUGUGGAAGGUGUAUUGGGCAAAACUUUACAGGUUGCUUUUGAAAUUCUGAGUUAUGCCACGAUAGCUCAUUGCAGUGUUCAGACUGUUCAGAUACGUUGUGCUACUAUUUUCCUCUACACCCUGGAUAUCAAACCAACACAGCCCUUACAGCCAGCAAACGUGCAGAUGAAGCAGAAGGGUAAGCAGAUGCUUUCAUUGGAGUUGUGUGUCCAGCUACGUUCAACCAGGACUGUGAGCUCCAGCCAGCUGGGGUGGUGAUGGCUGGUUGGAGCUGCAUGGCCUUGGCUUUGCUUCCCUCCCACAGGUGUUUCUGAGCAUGCUGUAAAGUCUCAGCUCUGUUGUUACUGUCUGUUGUGGCAUCACUGGUGUUUUUUCACUUGUUGUCAUUUGUGCAUAAAGCCCAUUCAGCUUCUCCUCUGCUAGGAUACAACCAGAGCUGCUGUCAGUGCAUUAUAGAUGGAGGAACAAAGCAAACCCUCAAAUGCUGGUUUCCUUAGCAACAACCUGGGGCGAGGGUGAUUCCAAGACAAGGGUUCUAAAGCUGCAGUGCUGGAACCCAAAAGGACACAGAUCUGUCUCAGCACCCUGCCUGUUUCAGCCUGAAUCUCGACUCUUGAUAGCGUGGAACAGGAUGAUCCCAUUCAUUACUGUCACCUUCAAAUAUAAACCUGCUGGAACAGAAAGCUCUUCACAAAGCCAUCCUGUACUCCUACUAUGUGCUAACAAACAAGACUGUGCUUGUAAAAGCACCAUAAAAUGAUAGUGUUCUUUCUUUCUCUUUUCCUUUUUUUCUAGAAGAUGAUGCUCAUGGGGGGCAAGAGAUACAGGAGAUUGGCUUAAGGGUGUUAAAAUUACCUGACUUUGUGAUGAAGAGAAUGUGCAGCUGACUUCCUAUGCUAUUCCAGAAAAAUAAACACCACUCAUAAAUAUCUACUCCACUUUCCAUCUCUGAAGGAUUUCUACUGGGUGAUCUUUCAGGAAAUAUGGAUAUGGAAUAUGAGAGAAUCAUAAAUUCCCAGGCCUGGGUCCUCCCUGAAUUCCAUGGUGAGUAUUAGGUUUUCAUUUUAUAUAUAGCUUUGGAGAAAAGUGGUCAUUUGAAGAAAAUUGUGAACCACGCUUAUCUUUGUUCUACUUCUGGACUGACAUCAUGGUAUGAAAAUGCAAGGAAUGUACAGUAAAACCUGGUGUGGGAAGAAGAUCUUGGCAGAGGGAUGACUAAUGGUGCCUAAAAGAGAGAAAACAGUUAUGUAAUAAAUACAGCCCAUGAGAUUAAAAUUGAAGAGAGCAUCACAGGUGCAGACUGUAAACAGGCCCCGGAGGAAAUAAUAUUGGUCUUUUAAAGAUGGACUCUGUAAACAAACUGAUGAAGCAUAGGAAAUAUCCUUUCGUGUAAAUUUUUAUGGUACAAGUCAGUACAUGGAGAAUACAAGCACUGUAAGUGUUUAUAAACUCAUAGAACAUCAAUACUGUAGGAAAGCAGCACAAAAAGUGCCACAAAGUAAAUUUAUACAGAGCAGGGAAGAUACGUGGUCUGAUGGCUGUUUGUUUUUUUUACUUUCACAAAUGAUAUGAUUUCUGCCUCUCUGGUUUUGUUCUGUUCACUUAGCUGCUCUCAGCUACAUAAUUGUUCUUCUAACUUGUAAAUAUUAUGGUCAACCUCCAGCAAAGUUUAGAUGAGGCCAAUCCAAUGUAAACAAGUGUGUCUUGUCAAUGAUGUGAGUAAGCAAAGCCACCCCUUGUAUAUUUCCUGCCCCUUUUCCAACUCCACUGAGACUGCGGGAGCUUUGCCAAGCCAGCUAUGAUAGCAUACAGC